UGAGGUCUCUCUCUCUCUGUGUGUGUGUGUGUAGAUGAGGUCUCUCUCUCUCUCUGUGUGUGUGUGUGUGUGUGUGUAGAUGAGGUCUCUCUCUCUCUGUGUGUGUGUGUGUGUGUGUGUGUGUAGAUGAGGUCUCUCUCUCUCUGUGUGUGUGUGUGUAGAUGAGGUCUCUCUCUCUCUCUCUGUGUGUGUGUGUGUGUGUAGAUGAGGUCUCUCUCUCUCUGUGUGUGUGUGUGUAGAUGAGGUCUCUCUCUCUCUGUGUGUGUGUGUGUGUGUGUAGAUGAGGUCUCUCUCUCUCUGUGUGUGUGUGUGUAGAUGAGGUCUCUCUCUCUGUGUGUGUGUGUGUGUGUAGAUGAGGUCUCUCUCUCUCUGUGUGUGUGUGUGUAGAUGAGGUCUCUCUCUCUCUGUGUGUGUGUGUGUAGAUGAGGUCUCUCUCUCUCUGUGUGUGUGUGUGUAGAUGAGGUCUCUCUCUCUCUCUGUGUGUGUGUGUGUGUAGAUGAGGUCUCUCUCUCUCUCUGUGUGUGUGUGUGUGUAGAUGAGGUCUCUCUCUCUGUGUGUGUGUGUGUGUGUGUGUGUGUAGAUGAGGUCUCUCUCUCUCUCUCUGUGUGUGUGUGUGUAGAUGAGGUCUCUCUCUCUCUCUGUGUGUGUGUGUGUAGAUGAGGUCUCUCUCUCUCUCUCUGUGUGUGUGUGUGUAGAUGAGGUCUCUCUCUCUCUCUCUGUGUGUGUGUGUGUGUGUGUGUGUGUAGAUGAGGUCUCUCUCUCUCUGUGUGUGUGUGUGUAGAUGAGGUCUCUCUCUCUCUCUCUGUGUGUGUGUGUGUAGAUGAGGUCUCUCUCUCUCUCUC